rnacentral:rRNA from 1 species
CCUGGUUGAUCCUAUCGAUAGUCAUAUACUUGUCUUAAAGAUUAAGUCAUGCAUGUGUAAGUAUGAAUAAAUUUAAACUCUGAAACUUCGAAUGGCUUAUUAAGUUAGUUAUAGUUUGUUUGAUGGUAUCUACUACUCGGAUAAUCAUAGUAAUUCUAUAGCUAAUACAUGUAAAAUAAACUUGAGUUCUGGAAGGGAUGCAUUUACUAGAUAAAAGGAUGAUGUAGGCACUGCUAGUUGUUACGAUGAAUCAAGAUAACUUAAAUGAUUUCACGACCAUUGUUCUAGCGAUGUAUUAUUCAAAUUUGUUCCUUAUCAACGUUCGAUGAAAGGAUAGUGGACUCCUAUGGUGGUGAUGGGUAACGAAUAAUUAGGGUUCAAUUUUGGAUAGGGAGCCUGAGAAAUGGCUACCGCAUCCAACAAAGGUAGGAGGCACACAAAUUACCCAAUCCUGCGGGGAGGUAGUGAUAACAAAUAACAAUACCAGGCUCAAUAAGUCUGGUAAUUUGAAUGAGUACAAUAUAAAUCCCAUAAUGAGGAUCAAUUGGAGGGCAAGUAUGGUGCCAAAAGUCGUGGUAGUUGUAGCUCCAAUAGCGUAUAUUUAAGUUGUUGUAGUUAAAAAGCUAAUAGUUGUACUUUGGGAGGGGUCGGCCAGUUCGCCUAUGGUGUACACCGGUCAUCUCGUCUCUUCUAUUGGCGAUGUACUCCUAGCCUUAACUUGAGGUAUCGUGCCUCCGGCGCUAUUAUUCUGAAGAAAUUAGAGUGAUCAAAGAAAUCCUAUGCUCUGUAUAUAUUAACAUAGGAUGACAUUAUAUGAUGUUGAUUAUAUUACAUUGGCCUUUAGGAUCGGAGUAAUGAUUAACAGAGACAGUCAGGGGCAUUCGUAUUUUAUAGUCAGAGGUAAAAUUCUUGGAUUGAUGAAAGACGAACAACUGUAAAAGCAUUUGCGAAGGAUGUUUUCAUUCAUCAAUAACGAAAGUUUGGGGCUCGAAGAUGGUUCGAUUUCGUCCUUGUCUCAACCAUAAACAAAGUCAACCAGGGAUCGGCAGAUGUUACUUUUAGGACUCCGCUGGAACCUUAUAAGAAAUCAAAAUUUUUGGGGUCCCAGGGGAGUAUGGUUGCAAGGCUGAAACUUAAAGGAAUUUAUGGAAGGAAACCACCAGGAGUGGAUCCUACGACUUAAUUUGACUCAACACGAGGAAACUUACCAGGUCCAGACAUAGUAAGGACUGACAUACGGAGAGCUCUUUCCUGAUUCUAUGGGUGGUGGUCCAUGGCCGUUGUUAUUUGGUUGAGUAAUUUUUCUGGUUAAUUCUAUUAAUGAAUAAGACCUCAACCUUGUAACUAACUAUACAAUGAUAUCCCUUCACUUCUAGCUUCUUAGACGAACUACAACCUUUUAGGCCGCGGAAUUUUAAGGCAAUAAUAUGUCUAUGAUACCCGUAGAUGUUCUGGACCGUACGCGCACUACACUGAUAUAUUCAACGAUUUGAUAUCCUUAAUCGAUAGGCUCGGGUAAUCUUUUAAAUCUCAUCAUGAUGGGGAUAGAUCAUUACAAUUGUUGGUCUUCCAUGAGGAAUUCCUAGUAAGCAUGAGUCAUCAUCUCACGUUGACUACGUCCCUAUUUUUUGUACACACCACCCAUCGCUCCUACCAAUUAAAUGAUCUAGUGAAAUGUUUGGAUCGUAGAGAUAUGGGGGUUUGCUGCCCAUGACGUCCAGUGAAGUCCAUUGAACCUUAUCAUUUAGAGAAAGAAGAAGUCAUGAAAAUAUUUACGUAGGUAAACCUGUGGAAG